rnacentral:rRNA from 1 species
GACGAACGCUGGCGGCGUGCUUAACACAUGCAAGUCGAACGGAAAGGCCCUGCUUUUGUGGGGUGCUCGAGUGGCGAACGGGGGAGUAACACGUGAGUAACCUGCCCUUGACUUUGGGAUAACUUCAGGAAACUGGGGCUAAUACCGGAUAGGAGCUCCUGCUGCAUGGUGGGGGUUGGAAAGUUUCGGCGGUUGGGGAUGGACUCGCGGCUUAUCAGCUUGUUGGUGGGGUAGUGGCUUACCAAGGCUUUGACGGGUAGCCGGCCUGAGAGGGUGACCGGCCACAUUGGGACUGAGGUACGGACCAGACUCCUACGGGAGGCAGCAGUGGGGAAUAUUGCACAAUGGGCGGAAGCCUGAUGCAGCAACGCCGCGUGCGGGAUGACGGCCUUCGGGUUGUAAACCGCUUUCGCCUGUGACGAAGCGUGAGUGACGGUAAUGGGUAAAGAAGCACCGGCUAACUACGUG